UACGUAGGGGGCGAGCGUUGUCCGGAAUCAUUGGGCGUAAAGCGCGCGUAGGCGGCCAGAUAAGUCCGGUGUGAAAGUCACAGGCUCAACCUGUGAAUGCCGCUGGAAACUGUCUGGCUAGAGUCCGGAAGGGGCGAGUGGAAUUCCUGGUGUAGCGGUGAAAUGCGCAGAUAUCGGGAAGAACACCCGUGGCGAAGGCGGUUCUCUGGGACGGUACUGACGCUGAGACGCGAAAGCGUGGGGAGCGAACAGG
rnacentral:rRNA from 1 species